ACGGCUCAGUAACACGUGGACAACCUGCCCUGAGGACUGGAAUAAUCCCGGGAAACUGGGGGUAAUUCCAGAUAUGUCAGAACACCUGGAAUGGGUUCUGGCAGAAAUGCUCCGGCGCCUCAGGAUGGGUCUGCGGCCUAUCAGGGUAGUAGUGGGUGUAACGUACCUACUAGCCUACGAUGGGUACGGGUUGUGAGAGCAAGAGCCCGGAGAUGGAUUCUGAGACAUGAAUCCAGGCCCUACGGGGUGCAGCAGGCGCGAAAACUUUACAAUGCGGGCAACCGCGAUAAGGGGACCUCGAGUGCUGGGUUACAAACCUGGCUGUUGGGCUGCCUAAAAAGCAGUCUAUAGCAAGGGCCGGGCAAGACCGGUGCCAGCCGCCGCGGUAACACCGGCGGCUCGAGUGGUAACCGCUGUUAUUGGGUCUAAAGGGUCUGUAGCCUGCCGGCUAAGUCUCUUGGGAAAUCUGGCAUCUCAAGUGUCAGGCUGCCAGGGGAUACUGGCCGGCUUGGGACCGGGAGAGGUGAGAGGUACCUCAGGGGUAGGGGUGAAAUCUUGUAAUCCUUGAGGGACCACCAGUGGCGAAGGCGUCUCACCUGAACGGAUCCGACGGCAAGGGACGAAAGCUAGGGGCACGAACCGGAUUAGAUACCCGGGUAGUCCUAGCCGUAAACGAUACUCGCUAGGUGUCGGCCACGGUGCGACCGUGGUCGGUGCCGUAGGGAAGCCGUGAAGCGGGCCACCUGGGAAGUACGGCCGCAAGGCUGAAACUUAAAGGAAUUGGCGGGGGAGCAC
rnacentral:rRNA from 1 species